GGGGAAUUUUGGACAAUGGGCGCAAGCCUGAUCCAGCAAUGCCGCGUGCAGGAAGAAGGCCUUCGGGUUGUAAACUGCUUUUGUCAGGGAAGAAAUCCUCUGGGUUAAUACCUCGGGGGGAUGACGGUACCUGAAGAAUAAGCACCGGCUAACUACGUGCCAGCAGCCGCGGUAAUACGUAGGGUGCGAGCGUUAAUCGGAAUUACUGGGCGUAAAGCGUGCGCAGGCGGUUGUGCAAGACAGGUGUGAAAUCCCCGGGCUUAACCUGGGAACUGCACUUGUGACUGCACAGCUAGAGUACGGUAGAGGGGGAUGGAAUUCCGCGUGUAGCAGUGAAAUGCGUAGAUAUGCGGAGGAACACCGAUGGCGAAGGCAAUCCCCUGGACCUGUACUGACGCUCAUGCACGAAAGCGUGGGGAGCAAAC
rnacentral:rRNA from 1 species